rnacentral:rRNA from 1 species
UAAUUCGAAGCAACGCGCAGAACCUUACCAACCCUUGACAUCCCGAUCGCGGACAUCAGAGAUGAAGUCCUUCAGUUCGGCUGGAUCGGAGACAGGUGCUGCAUGGCUGUCGUCAGCUCGUGUCGUGAGAUGUUGGGUUAAGUCCCGCAACGAGCGCAACCCUCGCCUUUAGUUGCCAUCAUUUAGUUGGGCACUCUAAAGGGACUGCCGGUGAUAAGCCGGAGGAAGGUGGGGAUGACGUCAAGUCCUCAUGGCCCUUACGGGUUGGGCUACACACGUGCUACAAUGGCGGUGACAAUGGGCAGCUACUUCGCAAGGAGAAGCUAAUCCCAAAAAGCCGUCUCAGUUCAGAUUGCACUCUGCAACUCGGGUGCAUGAAGUUGGAAUCGCUAGUAAUCGCUAAUCAGCAGGUAGCGGUGAAUACGUUCCCGGGCCUUGUACACACCGCCC